UUUUUUUUUUUUUUUUUAAGAUACCAUAGGAUUCCAGUGGGCAGCCGGGGUUGAGGACACUUGUCGGGAAGCGUGUAUCAGGUGUAUGAUCUCUGUCCUCUUUGUUCAUCUAUGGCACGGACAGCUGUUUUUGGUUUCUUCCUGCUGUGUUUCCUUUGGCUUUUCCAACUAACUUUAACAGCUAAGAAGCCAAUAACAAGCACGUUUGCCAAAAACGCAGCAAUGCCAGUUGUCAGAAAAGAUUCAGGGGCGUCUGGGUGGCUCAGUCGGUUGAGCAUCUGACUUCAGCCCAGGUCAUGAUCUCCUGAUUCACAAGCUUGAACCCCACGUGGGGCUCUGUGCUGGCAGCUCAGAGCCUGGAGCCUUCUUGGGAUCCUGUGUCUCCCUCUCUCCCUGCCCUUCCCCAGUUCGUGCUCGCUCAUGCUCUGUAUCUCUAAAAAACAUUAAACAUUUUUGUUAUUCAAAAGUUGAAAAAAGCCUGACAGGGAUUCGUUUUGGCAAGGGGAUUCCUGUGCUUUGAGAGAAGUCGGAUAGAGAAUCUCUAAUAUCCUGAGCUCCUAGUGAUGAGGCUUUGGGCAGUGAGGCAAAAUGAUAGACAUCCACGUUAGCCCUGUGUUGUGUUUUUUUUUUUUUUUUUCCUGUGUUCUUCAUGAUGAAGGCAAGUAUCUUGAAUUUAAACUGUUUCAGUUCUGUAGGUUGGCCCUUUUCCUGUGUAACCAAUUCACUUGGGUCAAAUAAAUCAUACUGAUUUUUUUUCUUCAAAAUUAGAUACAGUUCUACCACAACUCCUUUGUGUACAUUCACCAUAAGAUAGAUGUAUGCGUGUGGGUACAGGCUGUAUUCUGUAUAACUCAUGCACUGAUUUUUUUUAAGUUUAUUUUGAGACAACGCAAGUGGGGGAGGGGCAGAAAGCAAGAGGGAUAGAGCCUGAUGCAGAGUUCGAACCCCCCAAAGCCGUGAGAUCAUGACCGGAGCCAAAACCAAGAGUCGGACGCUUAACCCUCUGAGCCAACCAACUGAGUGCCCUGUGCGCGGAUUUAUUCUUGGAUACCUAUAGAAUUGACAAAAAAAUCCACAAAUCUUACUAGCACUUCUUUCUACGUGGCGAAUGAACGUGAGCCUAUUUUUAUCAAGUCUACGAUGUUGGGGGUGCAGUGCCUUAUGACUUAGGUUUAGAACUUAGGAAAGAAGUGGUGUCAAUCAAGGGCAGCUUAAGCUGGUCCCUUGUGUCUUUCCAGGGGGCUUUCCUUUUAUUAAAUUAAUCUUCGAACCUCCACUGCACUGCCAGACUUGGCUUUUGUUAAGAAAACAAGAUCCAGCUGGAGCUGUGGCCUGGAAACUUAAAAGCAGCCUCAUAGAGGCUGCACCCCCACCCCCCGACCACCGGUGACCCCGUGAGUCUCUCUCUCCCUACGUGUGCAUUUGCCUAAGUGUAUAGUUUGUGCUCCUGCCUUUCUCUCUCCGACUCCGCCAUCCCUUUCCCAUCUGUGUCCGGAUCCGGGAGGGCCAUACCUUCCCAGGCACCCCUGCUCCCUUGCAAACACAAGUCUGCACGAAGACCUUUUGGAGAAGACACUGGGGCAUUGGAUUUUUUAUACGUGAACCAGCUGGCUCUUGGACUUCCCACCGGGAUUUCUCUUGGUCCCGUGUAUAGGGGGGCAUCCACACACCUGGCAUGGAGUUCGGAGAGAAAAGGGGGGGGGGUAGGAAGUGGUCAGAAAACCGGGGGUCCGCAAACCCAGUCUGCAGGCGUGCUGGCAUCUUUGCUUCAGAAGAUGGCAGGUCUCUGGGGAAGAUGCACUCUGGGUGAGACCUGCACAAAGUUUCAAACGGGUGCACUUCACCUCCUCAAUGCGUUGGAGGUGACCCUUCCUCUGAUUGGCACGCAAAUGCAUUGGUAGGAACUACAGGUGGAAGAAGGGUGGGCCAGCGGGGAGUGGCAGGGUCAAAGCCACAGCCUGGCUCUGCUCACAGCUGGUCACUGUGUGUUGGGGGGGAGGGGGGUGGCAAAAGCGAUCUAAUCCCAUAUUGAAUCAGAAGCGAGAUAAAAGAAGAAAGAAGUGGCUUUUAGUCUUAGGCCUCUGUUCCCUUACGGUCUUGCUACAUUUGUUUGUUGGCUUAGUCCUAAAUACCGAGGGUUUCGGCGAGUGUUAGACAUCUUCCCAUUUAAAAUAACACUAUUUGUAACGCCCUGCUUGCUAACAAAAACAUUUACUGACUAAUCUUUUCCUGAAUGUCGAGUGUCAUAUGGAGCCCGUGUCGUAGGUGGUGGAAAAAGCUACUUUAGAAACAACUGUCUGAAUGGCACGGCCAUUUCUGGAAAAGAGUUGGACUUUUUUUUUUUUUUUUUUUUUUUAUAAAGUUAAGUAUUUACCCAAGUGAGACGAAAGCUUAUGUCCACACAAAAAUGCGUAUGCAAAUAUUUACAGUGGCUUUUGUUUUGUAAUUGCCAAAAACUGGAAACCAGCCAAAUGCCUUGCAUCUGGGAGUUGUGCACGGCCACGGUGCAUCCCGAUCAUGGAGUACUACUCAGCGAUAAACAGGAAGGAACUGCUCAGACAUGUGAGAACGUGAACAGCUUUCAAACGCAUCAUGCUAAGUGGAAAAGGCCAAAUACAAAAAGGCUGUGACCUCCUGUGUGAUUUUUUAGGUGACAUUCUUGCCGAGGAAGAGUUACAGGAACAGGAAACAGAUCAAUGGUUGCCUAGGGCUGGAGGGGUUUCGGGGACAGGAUUGGGGGGGGGGGGAUGGAACUGUUCUAGAUCUUGAUGGGUUACUGAAUACACAUGUACCAAAUGUUGCAGCACCAUACGCUUAAAAAAGUGAAUUUUAGGGUGCUUGGGUGGCUCAGUUAAGCAUCUGACUUUUGAUCUCUGCUCGGGUCCUAAUCUCAGGGUCGUGAGUUCAAGCCCCAUGUUGGGCUCUGCACUGAGCAUGAAGCCUACUCAAAACGUGGGUGCCUGGGUGGCUCAGUUGGUUGAGUGUCUGACUCUUGAUUUCAGCUCAGGUCAUGAUCUCAUGGUCAUGGGGUCGGGGCAUGGAGCCUGCAUCUGUGUCUCUACCUCUCCCCUUCUCUUGCUCUCAAAAAAAAAAAAAAAAGGUGAAUGUUACUAUGUGAUUCAUGUGUGUGUGUAUAUAUAUAUAUAUAUAUGAAUAACGGCGUGGGGAGAUGAAAUCCCCUGUGUAAGAUGGGGGGGGGGGGGGGGCUUUUACCCAGUAUUGCCAAUGUAAGGCAUCAGAACUGUGGUGGCCAGAGUAGAUUGGGUCCAGUCUUCUAGAUGAUUACCUCUGGCCACUUAGGACUUGAUGAAUGAUUGGAAGGGCAUCAGGACAUCCAGACGCAGGCACACCAGAAAAGCCGGAACUAUGCAAUUAGGUAUGGCCUGGGCAAAACUCGGCCAAACUCGGAGGCCUCUGGUCUCGUUCCCGUUCUCUUUGCCUUCAAAUUCUGUCUUUUGUCCAUGUGGAUCAUCUUGUGCUGGCCCACAUUAGAUAUUCAUUCCUACUACGAGAGUUAUCAUUUGAAUUGCCCUGUAAUGCGUUCGGUUGCCCCUUUGUGGUUCUGCGUGGACUUUGUGGAUUGGUGUGGGUUAGUUGGCGAGGGCUGCUGGUCCCACAGAUGAGGUCAUUUCUCAUUUCUCAAAGCUAGAAGUCCGAGAUGAGGGCGUCCUCGGGGUGAUGUGAGGGAGAAUCUGUCCCUUGCCUCUCCCGUAGCUUCUGGGGGUUCGUGGCAGUCUUUGACAUUCCUGAGCUCCUGCCACAUCACCCCAAUCUCUGCCUUCAUCUUCGCACGGCUUUCUCCCUGUCUGUGCACCUGUGUCCUAAUUUUCUCUUUUUAUACGGGCAGCAAUAUGUAAUGGGUUAGGGGCUCACCUUACUCCGGUAUGGCCUCAUGUUAAUCAUAUCUGCAGUGACCCCCCUUUCCAAGGUCACAUUUGGAGAUACUGGGAGUUAGGAUGGUCUCGCCUCACCCCAAAUUUGGCAAACACACAGGUGCCCACAAGACUUAUGUAUCAAAGCUAAACACCUUGUCCAGGCUGCAGCGAAAUAGAGAUGAUCCCUAUACUUUUAUUUCCUGAAAGCUACAUCCAGAAGCAGGCUUUUUGAUUGAACCUUUUCUUCCAGAAUAGAGCCUAGAACUUCGAAGGUACGUUUUCACGGAAUUUAUGCAUGGAACUCAACGAAAAUACCGUAUGCAAGGACGUUGGUGAAACCUAUUAGCCGUUUUGGCCCAAUUCUUAACAAGCGCUCCCUGGGCAGUGGCCUUCCUCCCAUGAUGUUUUCAACACAGGCCCCAUUUCUCAAACGCACGGCGUUACUAAAUCGCUUCCCGUAAGUGUGGUUUAUUGAGAAGAUAGUCCGUGGGCUGACUAUCAGCUUCGAUUUCAAAUCAUCAGUGGCCCUCAACUAACGUUCUGGAAGGAUUGAAGCGGUCUCACCUGACAUUAAUCAGGUCGCAGGGGCGGCCCUGGUGUGAACCAGGGAAGACUAAACUGAGGUCAUUCAGAAGUUGCUAGGCCAGUGUGCAGCUUUUCGAAGCCAGUUGUACAGAUGGAGCAUGAGCCCACCUGAGGGGAGGGGGAAGGUGUGAAGGAGCAGAAGAACCUUAGGAUAGCAUUUACUCUGAAGAUUGCAGCCCUCAUUCAUUCAGCAAAAAGUACAUUUAACACCCAUGCUGUGCGACGUGAGUUUCAGGUAUACAACCAGGUGACUCAACGACUCUGCACAUCAUGCGAAAUUUCAGGCAUUCUCUGUCCUCAGGAUGCUCACACUGGACUGGGGAAGCCAAGCAUUGACACUAGAAUGACCUUCUAUAGUGAAUGGAAUAAUGAAGUGUAGACAAAGUUCUGUAGGGUUUCCAAUGUCUAUGGAAGUUACUCCAGUUUGCGGUAACCCUAGUAAGCCAUAAUUUCAUUUCUGCCUGGAAAGUGGGGACACUUGGGUUUAAAAGAACUCUGGAAAGUUCCCCGAUUCUCCCCCCCCUCCCUGUUUUGACUACAGUGUGUCAGUUAAAAUGAGAACAGAAGAGCAGUAAACAUGUUACGGAGACUGUGGGUCAAAAGUUAGGGUUGGGGGGCUGUGUUGGAGUUUCCCCAGAUAAACAGAACCAAUAAGAUCUAUAUCUGGACGGAACUUGAUUUCAAGGGAUGGACUCCUGCAGUCGUGGGGCCAGAAAGUCUGAAAUCUGUAAGGCAGGCCUGCGGGCUGGAAUUUUGGGUAAGAGUUGCUGUAGCAAUCUCAAAUCUGACGGCUGGAUGCUUAGGCAGAUUUUCUGUGUUGUGGUCUGCAGGCAAAUUGCUCUUUUUGGAACCCUAUGUCUUGGCUCGUAAGAUCUUCACAUAGAAGAGGCUCCCCCUCAUUACGAGGGGUAAUCUGCUUUAUUCAGAGUCUCCAGAGUCCAAUGCUAAUCACAUCUAGAAAGUAACUUUACAGGCACAUCUAGAUGAAGUGUUUGACCAACCCACCCGUUGGCGUAGUCUAAGUUGACACGCAAAAUUGACCGUUUCGGGGACAUACGUCGGUAUAGUCUUCACGCUCCUCAGGACUUUGCAUCGUGAACGAAGCACCAAUGUUCGAAGAGUUAAUAGUUGAUUUUCUUGAACCUUGUGCCGGGAUUCGGCUUCUGCUUCCUGCUACACACAAGGCUGUCUCAAGAACUAUAGCUCACCCUGCUUAUCUGUAUUUGCUGAAGUUUGAAAGUAAAGUUAAUCCAGCCAAGCUUGCCCAAGCAAUAUAAAUUAUCUUGACUGAUUUACAUAUUUUGACAUUCCACAUAAAGUAGGGUUUUUUUUUUCCCCUAAACAAUGUGUUACCAAGUCAUGAUCGAGAACAUGAAGAGAAAGGAAAAAAUUGCUGUAUAGUCAUUUUUCUUCCUUGAAGUAUUUCAUUUGGAAACAUGGUCAAAACAGUCCGUGACAAGGUCUGUGUGGUGCCAUUUCAUGUGGGUUUCAUUAUGUUAAAAAAAAAAAACAAAAAACACCCAAAUCACCCAUACGAUAUUAUUUUAGUAUCUCAAAAAAUCGAACUGUGAUAACAGGAAGUUCGGGACCUCUUUUUAUUUAGUCUCCCUAUAACAACAAUUGGUUCCAGCUUCACAGGGCAAAGGAAACAAAAUUUGUGACACCUACAAUAACACUGGCUUGGCUGGAUUAAACUCAACAGCAAGCUGAUCAGGGAAUUGAUUUGAGGCUACAAGACAUUUUUUAAAAACACUCCCUCACUGUUACGGGUUUUCAUGGUUUAUUUCUCUUUAUGCUCCAUGACUAUGAAAAUGCUAGUGAACUCCAAGGUGAUGCCAGGCAAUAUGUUCUUCUCAUUUUUGUUUUCUUCCCCCAGCGACCACCUCUACCAAAACAAGCACCACGAAGAUCCAUGUUGGUGCCCGGCUUAGAUUGUUCUGGAGAGUAGGCAGGGUGUUGCUAGGUUUCUCCAGUGACUGAAGACUAGACCCUCCGGUAGGCUAAAGGCUAAGCUCUGUCCAGUGUCUGGACAACACUGAAAACUGGCUCAGAUUGCUGGGCCCCUCCCCCAGAGUUUGAUUCAGUAGGUCUGGAGUGGGGCCUUAGAAAAUGACAUUUCCAGCAAAUUCCCAAGUCCGGAUCAUACGUUGAGAAUCACUCUUCUGUGUGUCAGAGAUAAACUAGAAUAAAUCAGUCUUGUUAUAAGAUGCAGAUAUUUCUACCAAUUGUCCACAUCCUCUGUUCCUUUAGUAUUUAGUGGGACUACUGUACAGAUAAAGGAAAAACCCCAUUAUAGGCCAUGUAAUCUGUUUUCUGAAUUUUUUUUUAUUUUUGAGAGAUUGCAUGCAAGCAGAGGAAGGGCAGAGAGAGAGGGAGACCCAGAAUCUGAAGCAGCCUCCAGGUUCUGAGCUGUCGAUGCAGAGCCCGACGUGGGGCUCGAACCCACGAACUGUGAGAUCAUGACCUGAGCCAAAGUCGGACGCUUAACUGAGCCAGCCAGGCACCCCUAUAAUCUAUUUCAAAAAACACACACAAGAGUCACGUCAUAAUGCAGCAAAACAAUAUAUGAUGUGCCAAACAUCUCAGCCUUUCCUUAUGCCCUUAGCAAGCCCACCUCUAAAAGGAAAGAAGUUCAUCUUGGGCUUGCUCCACUUUUGAGCAAAAACAGAAAAACAUGUUUUACUUUGGGGGGGCUGAUGACUAUUACUCUAAUCAGAAGCGGUAGGGUGAAUUUCUGAGGCAAGCUCCUGCAUUCCAACCCAGCGGUCAUUUACCCCCUCGGAUGGAGCAUGAAAUCGAAGCAAUAUGCGCCCCCCCCCCCCCCCCCCCCCCCCCCCCCCCCCCCGCUGAAGGACCCACUCUGUUGGAUCUGGGCCCAAGGCACUGCUGGGGACCACAUGAAUGACGGAGGCCCCGAUGCCUCAGUUGUCAUCCUGGUUGGUGGGCGGCCGUGGGGCAUCCAGCUCUCUCGGAGCCCCUGUGCUGGGAUUCUGCCCUGAUUCUUCUGCCCAGCAGAGGUUCUGCCCUGUGUCCUUCCGGGAGGCCUCCCACAGCACUUUACAUGAAGGCAGUUUCCUUUUCAUAUUCUGGGAGGUCAUUGUCCUGGCCACGUCACACAGGACUCUUCCUCCUUGGCUGUGAUCUCGGGGUCCCUGCCCGAGCAACUAUAUUUGCUCAUGGCUAUUUGGGGCUCAAGUCAAAUCCAAGAGAAUCUAUGCUGAGCGCUUGCAGAAGCCAGAAAUGUUAGAGCGGGCAGAUCCGGGACCAGAGGCACCUUCCUUAAGCGUCAUUGUGCGUCCCUGAUCAGAAACUCACUGCGGAUGGUGUUAAGUUCUGUCUCAGAAGCCUGACUUUCCAAAGCCCUCCCCACCCGGCACGUAGCCUGUUUCAGGGAGCGGCUCUGCUUGGACUCACGUAACGUUUCGUCCCUCCUUGGUGAGGGCUCGUGUCCCCCUGGCAGACUCCGUGGUUCACGCCAGAUUGUGGUGAUGGUGGGCACACAGCUUCCUACUUCAGUUUUCCGGGCACGUAAACCAGGUGUUGCCCGGCUUCUAGAAGACGAGCUUCUGGCCUUUUCAGUUUAGCAAUCUCCUUAGUUCUCGUGGUCAAGAGAGGGAGAAAUCGGAAGGCUUACGUUACUAAAGGUUCUCUCGAAACCCUUCUGAGAAGAAAAUAGUCCAUUGGUUAGUAUUGUGGAGGGCAGCCAGGGAAAAGAGCUCAGGAGACUCCUCACAGACAUUCUGUGCUAGUUCCCUCCAAGAAGUCUUUUGGGGGAGCGGAGGAAGGCUGUUUGUGUCCAGUCACACCUCUGUUGCAAUACGCACCCACCUCUCUGGCUGUACCGUUUCACUUGCACAGCCUGGCAGUAAUCAGUCAUUGGACAGAGUAGAGGCAGAAUUCGGGGUCAGAUCUCUUUGUAAACCAACCGAACAGCUGUGUGCCGGUGGCACCGGGACAGCGAAGCAGAAUUGAACGUUUAUUCCGCAGCAAAAUCUUGGCCUUUUGUUUCUACCACAUCAUUGGAGAUGUCAGGACUGGGAGGUGUUAUGGACUGAUUGUGUCUGCCCCACACCCCCAAAAUUCAUGUGUUGAAGCCCAACCCCCCCCCCCCCCACAUGACUGUAUUUGGAGACAGGGUCUUCAUGGGGGAUAAUUAAGGUUACGUGAAGUCCUAAAGGUGAAGUUCUGAUCGGCGGGAUUACUGUCUUUGUGGGAAGAGACCCCAGAGAGCUCAGUUGUGUGUGCUCGCUCUGCCCUCGUGGGCACAAAGAAAAGCCAUGCGAGGACACACAUGGCUGCAUCUGUAGCCCACGGCCAGACUCCUCACUGGACACCAACCCAGCCGGCUCCCUAUCUUGGACUUGCAGAAAAUAAAUCUGUUGUUUAAGCCACCCAGCCCGUGGUAUUUUGUUGUGGCUGCCUGAGCUGAUGAAUUCAGGAAGGGUCAGGCUUGGAAAGUGCUGGAAGGACCCCUGUAGAGACCCACUUCGGCCCCCACAAGGAAUUUUCUUUCCUGCGGUUCUGUUCCUGGAUGAAUUCAGAUUUCAAAAAUUAGAAAAAUAGCCACGACAGCAGUAUUUUUGUAGCCUGUGAAUAAAUAGACAAAAUUAAAACUUCAAAACAAGUUAUGCAUUUUUGAAAACCGUGCAAUUUAAAAAUAGCAUCAGGGAAGGGAUGUCUUGCAUCCGUGUUCUGGUGCAUGAAAUACGAGUCUCCUGCUCAAACCUAGAGUGAGUGGGGUCUGCUUUAAAUCUGCACAUUAUGGGGGCGCCUGGGUGGCGCAGUCGGUUAGGCGUCCGACUUCAGCCAGGUCACGAUCUCGCGGUCCGUGAGUUCGAGCCCCGCGUCGGGCUCUGGGCUGAUGGCUCAGAGCCUGGAGCCUGUUUCCGAUUCUGUGUCUCCCUUUCUCUCUCUGCCCCUCCCCCAUUCAUGCUCUGUCUCUCUCUGUCCCAAAAAUAAAUAAACGUUGAAAAAAAAAAAUUUAAAUCUGCACAUUAUGGACAAUGACUUUUAUUCGUGUCGGAACAGAGUUUUGUUGUGCAGAGUCGCAUUGUUGGCCGAUCUUACAGUUCAGACCGUUCUAGGCAGAACAUAGGACCUCAGCCCUGGAAAACACGCCAAGGAAGGACAUUGGUUACCAACAGAGGCCUUAGUCACCAGCAGAAUCACUAUAUUAUCACAGGAUCCACUUAGCAGCUUAGAAUGGUCUGAGGGAAGGGGUUCCGGGGGGCGGGGCUCAGUCAGAUGGGUGUCUGACUCUUGAUUUCAGCUCAGGUCGUAAUCCCAGGGUCAUGAGAUCGAGUCCCCAGUCAGGCUCCUUGCUGAGUGUGUGGAGGCUGCUUAGGAUUCUCUCUCUGCCCCCGUCCCUUGCUCACGUGUGUGCUGUCUCUCUCAAAGAAAAAUAAAUGAUGGUCAGAAGGUGAAAUCCAGGGAACAAAGAGUGUCCUUUUGCUUCCCUAUCUCUUCCUACGUUCGUUUUCCAUCAGCUAACUGAAGUGUCUCCGUGUCCUCCAAGAGUCACAGGAGCGAGGGAGGUCUCACGAGAUAAAGGAGCAGAUGCGAGAACCUGCGUCUGAUUAUCUCUCUCGGUAAAGGCAGAAUGGCUGUUCGUGUUACAGAUAGGAAACAGUUUGCGAUGUGACUUGUGGCGGUCAUGUGGUAGGCCUCGGAAGCUUGUCUUAAAAAGAAGAAGAAUCCGUUUAGUUUAUCUUAAUUGCUCAUUUCACCACGACUUUCAUCUUUAAUGUCUUAGGCUUUAUGGAUUUUUUUUUUUUGGUAGCUAGACAUUCCAGGAAGCAUCCAUCAUUUUCCCGUCCCUCCCCCCCCACCAACUUGGAGGAAAAACGUGGUGGGGAGCGAUAUUUCUUAAGAGACAACUGUUACCCAGUCGUCGUGUCACUGGUGGUGUUUCUUACUAAGGGAACUUAGGGAUCUUACUAAUAUGUUCAGAUAAGAUUAGCAUCAGCAAGUCGGAUCUUUGGCAGUGCGCAGAAGAGCAGAAAGUUCUUUCUCAGCAUCAUCGUCGGGCAUUUCUUGCCUACUUUGUUAGGGGGCUUUUUUCAAACACGUGUCUGAAGAGCCCGUACUUGAGGAUUUUACGGACUCUCUAAAGUUACGGUCGUUGAAGGAUGGUACUUCCGCCCUUUUAGGUGAAUCUUCUAUGUUUUUGCUUAAAUCUUACAGCGUUUCUGAAGACAAGUUUAAUUAGGGAAUACUUGGAGGUUAUGCACGUGAGCCGGAAGCAGACACGUUCAGUAUUAAAGUGUUCCCCUGCUCCCCCUACCCCACCCCAGAAAUUUGUCCUCAAGGUGGUCGUAAGAGUCCAAUGAAUAGUUGUUUAUAACGGAAACAGAUGCAUUAUGAGUGGUCCCGGAAGAGGCGUUUUGUGCUACCGUGUAAGAGGGAAAGCUAUACCCUGUGGGUGAAAUGAUUGGCUGAUUCGAUUUGCUGUCGCUGGAGCCCCUUGUUGUGGGUCCUGGCAUUUCGCUAUCAAAGUCCUCUUGGGUGUGUUCUUUCAGGGAGUACAGUAGAGCCUCCUGUGGUCUGGACGGUGCCUCCUGGAGUGGCGAGGCCAGAGGUGGUGACUCAGGAGUCGUGGGGGGAGUGAUGACCGGAGACGGGGUGGGGUGCUGUGGACAGGAGUCCUGAAGUAGACUGAAAAGUUCUGCCUUCGACUAGCUUUUUUUAAGUUUGAGAGAGACCAAGAGAGUGCAAGCAGGGGAGGGGCAGAGAGAGAGGAGAGGGAGAGUCCCAAGCCGGCUACACAUGGUCAGUGCACAGAGCCCGACGUGAGGCUUGAACCCACGAAACCAUGAGAUCAUGACCUGAGCCGAAAUUAAGAGUGGGACGCUUAACCGACUGAGCCACCCAGGCACGCCUUAGAGUAUCUUAGGCGUUCAGUUGGGCUUCGCAUAUGACUUUGGGGAGAAAACAGUUUGAAAACUCAACAGGGUGCUUAAGAAUCUAACAGGAUACUUGUGCUGUUUAAAACAAAAAAGUUGACAACUCAUCUUGCCCUCUUUGCCGCAGGGGUCUGGGUUUGUCCUUCUUGUGCAGGCAGGGCUGGCUUCAUGGCCACAUGGCCUCUGCAAAUGCCCAGGACCCCGUGCUCAGAAGGGCCCUGCAUAUAGUUUAAUGCCCUUCUGUCACCAUUUUGAGAAGUUUUUGUAAUUUUUGAACAAGGACCCCACAUGUUGUUUUUAGAGAGAAGGAAAGGGGCGGAGGCAGGGGACGUGGGGCGGUAGAGAGAGAGAGAGAAUAUGAGAAUGAAUAUCUUAAGCAGUUUCCACACUCAGAGCCUGACUGGGACUCAAUCCCACGACCCUGGCAUCAUGACCUGAGCUGAAAUCAAGAGAAGAUCAACAACUGACUGAGCCCCCCCUCCAGGCGCCCCAUGGGCCCCACAUUUGCAGCUCGUGCUGGGUCAGACAGAUUAUGUAGUUGGCCUGCCUAUACGGUCUCAGCCUAACCCUGAUUUCGGGCCCUGAAGUCUUCGUGCUCUAGUCUGGCUCAGGUCUGGGGCAUAGAGUGUGUCCUAAAUCCUGCAGCCCCGUCUGCUGUGAAGCAGCCCUUGACAGAAUUUGUCAGCUAUUCUCCUUGGGGCUGGAUCCCUUGUCCUCAGCCUGUGCCAUUGGCUGGGAUCCUGUUCCUGUUUUGAACAAAGCAGACAGACUUCCUGGAAAUCUGACCUACCUCUUCGUUUUUCUUUUCUUUUUUUUUUAAACGUUUAUUUUUGAGAGCACAAACAGAGGAGGGGGCAGUGAGAGAGGGAGACACAGAAUCCGAAGUAGGUUCCAGGCUCUGAGCUGUCAGCCCAGAGCCCGACAUGGGGCUCAAGCCCACGAACUGUGAGAUGGUGACCCGAGCCAAAGUGAGACACUCAACCGACUGAGCCACCCAGGCGCCCCAAUCUGACAUACCUCUUACCUGACAAAGUCCCGACCUCAGCCCCCCUCUUGCUUACUCCCCUCCCCCUUCCCUGCAUUUUGACAGGCUGAGUCUCCCCGAGAAGGCCACCACCUGAACCAAACACGUAGAGCCUUGCUUCUCCUCCCAUUGGAUCUCCCUAGCCCCUGACCUGGCUCCCCCUUCUCUGUAGAGGCCUGUCAGCCAGCCCUGUCGUGAACAUGGGAACAAAGCCAAUUUUUCAGUUCUGUUGCAGUGGUCAUGCUGGAUUAUUGAAGCCAUCACGUUUGCUGGUUUCAGCUGGGAUUCAUGUGACCGACACCCGAAUACGUGUUUUGAAGUCCACUUGUGAUCUGCCUUUAAAUCACUUCUAGGUCCGUUCUUUGUGUCCUACUUUCAGCACCACGGACCUAGCCCAGGUCUUUAUCACUUUGUUCUUGGUUUCUUGAAGGCAAGGGCUUUCUGAAGUUGUCUCUGGUUUCUCCUCCAUCAACCUCAUACGGCCUCAGCAUUCAUUGGCCGUCGUUCCAGCUACAGGAUUUGAACAUGCUCCCCAUGCAGGAAGCUGAGUGCUAUGGAGGAAGCACGUUGUCAUGAUAUAGUCGUUGAGACUGUUGGUGAAAUAAAAGACAGCUAAUAAUAGCUACAGAGGAAGUGCUGGAAGCAUUGUCCUAUAUAAUGAGAAAAUUUGAAAUGAGCCAGAUAUAUAUCAUUGUGUAGAGAUGGUUAAAUCAUGAUCGAUCUGUACCAAUGAAUACUAUGCAGCCAUUUCAAGUACUCAGUGUCUGCAGAAGAAAUAGCAUUGACUGGGGAUUGGGGGCAGAAAACGUGAACAGGUCUCAGUCAGUGAAGAAGGAAUUAGAGUUCCUGGAGCGAAGAAACCACUGGCUCACAUGGAAAGUUCCAGAAGGUGGGGUAAGCAGGCGUGUGCCAACACCAAACCUGGUUGGAUGGUCCUCUCAGAGCAUUCCAACUACAAGAGCCAUUCAGGGAAACCAUCUUUCUAAUAAUUAGCAGGUCAGGUCUUCAUUUACUCUGAAUUCUUAGAACACUUGCCUUCUGAAAACAUUUUAAAUUACAAGUACAAAGUCAUCUAAAAUUCAAACUUUUUAUAGAAAGGCAUAAUGGAAAAGGUUAAAUUCCCCUGGAUCCUACCCAGUAGAGACUAUGAUUCACUUGCUUUAACUUUAUAUUCUCUUUUUAAUGCUUAUUUUUAACAGAGACUGAGCAUAAGAGGGGGAGGGGCAGAGAGAGAGAGGGAGACACAGAAUCCGAAGCAGGCUCCAGGCUCUGAGCUGUCAGCACGGAGCCCGACGCAGGUUUCGAACUCACGAAUGGCAAGAUCAUGACCUGAGCCGAAGUCAGACACUGAACCAACUGAGCCACCCAGGCGCCCCUUAACUUUAUAUUUUCAAUGCACAAAGGGAGGUAAUUUAUAAAUACAAAAAUGAGUUACUGUGUGCAUACACCCUGUAUUCUUUUCACUUGCUAUAUACGUUUUCCCACAUCAGUACACACACUGAGCUACCACCGAUUUGGAGUUAUGGUCAUGAACAGUCUUGUACCUUGUGCAGCUGGUGCACACGUCUUACCAACUCCUCACUCUUAAACCUUUUUAUUGAUGAGAAUUGUCUUCUAAUCUCAGAAGCAUGAGAAUUCUGUGUACCUAGUAGGCGUUCAGCAGAGACUCAGUGGCUGAAUUGAAGCCCAGGGAGCUUCGUUUCCAACCACCCAUCGACGUUGGCUUGCUUUUAGCAGAGAGGGCCUCACCCUGUGAGACCCAGUGAUGCUCAAAACUCUGUGUCCUUUGAGCCGGUCAGAGGAGGUCCACGGCCAAAAUCAAAUCGUGGCAUCACUUUCCUAGCUCACAGGAGGAAAAAGGUAAAGCAGAAUUUUCUUCAUCUUAUACAUUUCCCGUAUAUUUUUUAGAAACCCUUGAUAUUUGCUGCCGAUUGUUUGCUUAUGAGUAUUGGCCAGAUGGCCAAAUGAAUGCACAAGCAGUGGACAAACAUCGGAAAAAAAUUAGGAACAGCUGAUCAUGUCUUAGCAGAUUUGUCGUCCCCUUCCUCCCAACACACACACUCAAGUGUGGUUGAGGUUUUGUGUUGGACACAGGACAGAGAAGCAUCCUGUGUUCUGUCGGGGAUGCAUCCCUGCCGUGGCAUUGGCGCUGGUGCCAUACCGCCUAGUGGGGCUCGGGCUGCGCUCGUCUCCACACACCCCCCCAACCUAAUCAUGGACACAAAUGCACCAGAGAAUAAAAAUAUGUAAGCAUGGGGAGCCUGGGUGGCUCAGUCGGUUAAGCCUCUGACUCUUGAUUUUGGCUCAGGUCAUGAUCUCACAGUCCUGAGAUGGAGCCCUGAGCACGAGGCCUGUUUGGGAUUCUCUUUCCCUUUCUCUCUCUGCUUCUCCCAUGCUCCUGCUCUCUUUCUCUCUCAAAGUAAACACAUAAAUGCUUAAAAAUAGGCAAACGUUCCCAUAGACGUGCCAACAGUUCUCGUUUUAAGCUUAAGCAAUCCAUAAACUUGAUGUAUACGGAACACUGCUGCUCAGUUAAGGAAGCAGAAACAGCAUGGCUGAGACUAGAUUGAAGAGUCCAAGAGAAAUUCACUUCAGGCCCGGUGGCGACACGGACAACUGUACCCAGCGAUGUGUGACCUCUUUCCACACCCCUCAGGGUGAAGGCUCUUGCAGUAGAGACGUCGGAGUUCUCUGCAGUGUCAGAGGGCCAGGGGCUGGUCAGUGACGAGAGUACAUGGUGUGGUUGGGGAACCAACGCCUGGGUCCUGGUCGGAGCUCACCUGGUUUUAAGAAACAGAUCCAGGGAGGCAAAGUCGUAUUGCCAGGAUCGGGGGGCUGUCCAAAUGCACCAAUUUGCCCGUGAUGGGAAAAGUCUACUCUGCUCCCCAGUUCUGCCAGAUUUAUGUCUCUAAAUUUCUUAGUAUUCUAAAAAAGGAGAUUUGGAUCGCUUCUUGGUCUCCUCAUGGGUUAGUUUCCCGUAGGUCAGGUGUUCAUGCCAAGCCCGUCAGCCUGUGUGUGCGCACACAGGCCUAUGUAUUUUAGAGAUCUGAGAAGUCACAGGUGAGCCUAUGACCAUGUAUACUGCUUUUGUCCUGGGACUUUGAUUUUCGACUCUCCUGCAGAUGAAUGGCCCUGUAUGAGGAGCCCUGUGCUUCAUCUUCAACCAACUAUAGACUGUAAAUAAUCUACGUGGACGCUGAAUCGGGGAAAGCUGUCCCCACCUUGUUGCAAAGUGGCCUUGGAUUUUUGCGUAAAAGUAAGUUUCCUGAUCUCACGAACCAGGCAGUAUUUCCUUCAGCUAGAAAACAGGCAAGUGGUGGUAAGGCAAAUGGAGUGGUUCAACAGGUAAAAGCUGCAGUUACGCAAGAUUAAGUUCUAGAGAUCUGUGUACCAGGUCCGACAGUUAACGGUACUGUGCUGUGUACUUAAAAUUUUCAGCAGGUACAGCUCCUGUAUUCUGCCUACGGUAAUAAACUACAUGCAUAAUAUAUACAUUCAUAUUAUAUACAGCUUUGGCUUUUUAAAGGUGCGUGCUGAGUCACGUAGAAAGUGAAAUACAGGGGCAGUUCUUGAGAUGGUCUCUGUCUCCCUCUCCUCCCCCUGCAACCUCUCUCUGCUCAUGCUUGCUCAUGCGCUCUCAAGAUACAAAAAUAUCAGAUAAAAAAGUGAACCACAGAUCUGCCUGAGUCGCCAAACAGAGUUGCCUUGUGCUCUUAUUUGGGAGAGAGUCUUGGGGGUUUUUCUACCUAGGACUUUCUCAUCUUCGACACAGGGUGGUCAUGACCAUGAUAUGGUUAAAAAAAACCCUUGGGGCGCCUGGGUGGCGCAGUCGGUUAAGCGUCCGACUUCAGCCAGGUCACGAUCUCGCGGUCCGUGAGUUCGAGCCCCGCGUCGGGCUCUGGGCUGAUGGCUCAGAGCCUGGAGCCUGUUUCCGAUACUGUGUCUCCCUCUCUCUCUACCCCUCCCCCGUUCAUGCUCUGUCUCUCUCUGUCCCAAAAAUAAAUAAACGUUGAAAAAAAAAAUUAAAAAAAAAAAACAAACCCUCAGUUACAUAUUCCGAUACAGUUUAGUAAAGAUACGUGUAUUAGGGACUUAGAGGAGCAGAAACACUGAUAAAAUGAGACUUAUUACGAGUGCCCACAACUGUGCCCAGUUCAACAGUCCCUCACCUCUGUAUCUGAUGCUGAACCUGAAGUCUGUGGGGCUGGCAUUGGAAGGAAAGAUGGAAACGGAGAAGAGCAAAGACGAGCUGGAACCUGUGUCCCGCUGCCUCUAGGCCUCUGGCUCGUACACCGUGGGCAGCCUGCGGGAAAAGCUGGUCCAGGAUGCUCAGAGGCUGAAGGGAGCGCGGGCCCAGCUGCUGCCCCAGGAGGUGUGGCGGCGCCUGCUGCCCUCUGAUGACCUCAGGAACAUGGCGAGGCCUGGUUGCUGUCGCACCUCCCUCUUAACUGGUGUUCACGUAAACGUACCAGCCUUCACGUAAAACUAUCCAGGGCCAGAAAGCCCCAGCUUAGCUGAGCUGGUGCAGCACGAACGCAGCCGAGUCUGAAGAUGUAUAAACAUUCCCAUCAAUGAUGCGAACCAUUUUAUCUUUGCCUUAAGCUAUCCAUAAGAUGGGUUUCCAGGGAGUACCUCUUUCCUUGAAUGCUAUCACUUAAGGGGAACCAAGGAAAAGCGGGGGAAACAUCCGGGUUGAAGUUAGGAUGAUGUAUUCCUCAAAUAAUUUCAGAACUGACCCGAUCCUUAAAACCUGCUAAAAAUGGUUGGUGCUCUGAGCAGAAAGGAACCUUCUCAUUAAAUCCCAACACACGAGGUCACUGUCGUGGGUCUUGCUCCAGCUGCCUUUAAUGCUGCAUAAACCUCUCUCUUCUGCAGCUGGGUCACAUUCAGUAAGUGCUUACAGCACAUCUGAUUAAGGUCAGUCCCAGGGCUUCCAUGAAUCAUCUCCAGGAAGGAAUGCUGGGGAGGCAAUGUGACUGCAGGUCACUUUCUUCUGUCUUGCUGCUCCGAGGACGACUCCUGCUCUGCGCUCCAUCACGUCCCCCACAUUAAUCGUUCCUGGAAGACAGAACACAGCUGGACCCUGAACACGCCCGGGACUUGGCCACAGCUGGGAUUUGGCCCUGCCGCGAUCUCAGGGGCUCCGAGGGCAAGAUGCCUUGUCUGUCUCUCCUGCAUUUCCCAAAGCAGCCCACGCCGAAGCCGCAGCAGGUAGGGCCACUGAGAUGUCCUUCAAGGCGGUCACCAAACAGGAGGCUGGGUGUCUAGGGGGAGGGGCAGAGGUCCUGGGACAGAAGAGCCAACCGGGGAGCUUGCAUAGCUGAGACCUGGGUGUCCCCUGCUUCUGAGCGAGCCCUGGAGAUGAAGAGAAUCUGAAUAUCAUGUGCGUCGAACGAGCGUGUCCUCGUCAAGGCUGCAGGCAGCAGAGUUUCCCUCUGGCGAGCUCUGUCACACCCCCAGCUCCUGAGCUACGGUUUGACUGCCCAGACAGGACUUCAUCUGUAACAGAUGGAGUCGGUCUGUUGCUUUAGGAUGUGUGAGCUGUGACCACGACGCCGAUUUCCCUUCAUGUGAUAGAAAAUAAAGAAUGACUCCAGGUCGCUGGCAUUUGCACAGAUAGGGCGGCAUUUCUUUCAACUUCUGAAGAUUCAGAGUGGAAGCAAAGACUCCCACGGUAAUUUAGCACAGCACCUGCUCCCCCAGGCAAAGAAAGUGACUUCAGUCCCUUUAAUCUUGCCGGACUAGAAACCCAAAGAGCGUGGGAACCAGACUCGUGAGUUCUAACGCUGGACCCAGACUUUUGGAGCAGAAGCUGAACAUCACCACUGGUUUGGGCAAACGUAACAGGAGAGACCGUAAGAGCUGAGGCCGUGGGUCAUGGGGUGCUUAUAUGGUUUAGAGAGACUGGAACAUACCUUUUAAAAUUUAUCAGGGGCGCCCGGGUGGCUCAGUCGGUUAAGCAUCCAGCUUCAGCUCAGGGCAUGAUCUCGCGUUUCGUGAGUUUGAGCCCCGCGUCAGCCUCUGUGCUGACAGCUCAAAGCUGUCAGCCUAGGAUUCUGUCUCCCUUUCUGCCCUUCCCCUGCUCAUGCUCACACAUGCUGUCUCAAAAAUAAACAUUUUUUAAAAAUUUAUAGAAGUUUACUGUCAAAUUCAGCUCUCCCUCCCAAGAGAAAAAAGCCAGGGAUCCCUGUGUUUGUUUAAACUUCAUUUUUUGAGUAUUGGGUAAUCAAUAAUUCUCGUUGAAGGACUAUUAAAAUGCAUGAUUUCAAAAAAAUGUAGAUUCUGAAACCACUUAUCGCUGUAUUUCCCACUAGAGCUGAAUGGGUAACAUUUUCCAUUUGUCUGUUAAGUUGGCUCUGAGAGAACAACAUGAAUGUCACAGCCAGAGGAAUCUUAAGAAAUCCUGUUCUCCAACUGUUUUAUUAUACAAAUAACUUCAAAUCCAUGCCUGGCUUAAUUAAGGUCUCUGCUAGUUACUGGCAGAAUUUGGCACUGUGGUUUCCCAUUCCAGCCUUUUUCUAUACCUCAAAGCUGCUUUAUUCUCUCCAGACACUGGGGCAUGCCAUUGGAGACCUGUGGUCCCACUUCAUAUGAGCACAUUUCCAGGUAGUGACUGGGCCAGGCCAGAAGGGCCACAGCCUGCACCCCUGGAAUCUCUCCUCAUCUGCCUCCACGAGACUGUCCCCCCUGCUGGACUGUGAACCACCUUCUCGCAUAAAAUCUGCAAUGUGAUAGGGAGAGAAGAGAUCCCAGUCGCCUGUGGUUAUCUGGCACAUCUAACUUUGGAGUCCUUGUGAGUUGGCCACGUUGGCCUGUCAUUCUAGUGACCCACAGGGAGUUGGCAACGACCUGAACACGAUCGUUGCUCAAAGAGAGAUUUGGGUUGCUCACAGGCCCUCUGGUCCUCCGUGAAAUCAUGAAAUUCUUCAUGCUGGUUGAUCUGUUUUAAGCCAGAUGAUCAUGUGGGCAGGUCCUCUGCAACAGGGUCCACACACAGCCACGGAUCAAAAGUGGCAAACUGUCCUUACAUUUUUAAAAUAAUGAGCCAGCAUCUCUCCCUAAUUUUUGUACCCCGGGUCAAGCUUGUGAUGUGGAAAGAAAUGUCCUCUCUUCUCAUUGAACGCUGAGCAGUAACCAGAUUCUCUUCUAGAUGGGAGCUGUCUACAGCAGCGUCCCCUCUAUAGUCUGGAAGGGGGUAGAAAGUUCCUCCAUCCUCGGCUGUGCCUUGCAACACCACAGACGUGUUUUAUUUCCACUUCCAGAGCCAGAGGGAUCAUCCCUCCUCAGGCCUCCAAGUCACCGAGUGGUGACGGGCUGCAGGGCAGGAAGAGCAGCGUGGCAUCUGUGGCCAACCCAGGUUACGGAAGUCAGAGUGGUGACAGGUCCCUUCCCCCUUUCAGGGAUCUGGGCUCCGUAACAGGAGACUGUUUACGAGGCGGGCCCUGCCCACCUAAAAAAUGUGCUAUUCCCAACCAGAAAGUGUCGCGGCAGGUUGGGAUUGUGCCCCAAACUUUAUCCCUUUGACUUCACCCCUGGGACAGAAAGGAUUUUCAUGGCUUGAGUUUGGUGCUACCGAAAAGGCACAACAGCGUUUCUCCGUGGCUGUGACGCCAUACCCAUCCAGGGCCCAGCAGCCAGUCUGUUGAUUCCAAGUGGGGCCAUCACUGCGUCUGGGUUACAUAUGCCUGGUUUGUGCAGUAACUGAGUCGCUCUACUUGAAUGUAAGAACCUCUCUGGGCCUCAGUUGCCUCACCUGCCAAGUAAGCGGGGUCCCCUGUGCCUCUGAGGGUCUAGUGUCCUGAGUGCCCGUACUCCCGUGGGACCGAUGCUACUCCUGAUGUAUCUCCCUGAUGUUACUAUUUUUAUCUUUGUACGGCUGGACAGCUGAGUCAACUACAUGAUCAGAGGAAGGUCAGCUUCGGUUCAAGGGAGGAAAACUCCACCUUUAAUACAGCCUAAACGCUCAUCGUAAGAGCGUCUACGGGGUGGUUGAACGUCUGACUCUGAUUUCGGCUUAGGUUGUGAUCUCGUGGUCCUGAGAUCGAGUCCUGCGUUGGCUCCACGCUGAGUGUUGGAACCUGCUGAAGAUUCUCUCUCCCCCCUCUGCUUACACUUGCAUGCUCCCAAAAAAACCAAACAAAAAAACACCUUAGGAAAAGAAAAGAGCAUCUCCAGUGAUGUUGUCCCCCCUGCCAAAUGAUUACGUGGCUUCUUUCACUAGAGAAGUGAAAAUACUCUACGUUUGCUGUAGCCUGUCGCCUAGAAUUAUUUAUUGUGAUACUAAACGAGUUUGACCAGGUAUCUUCUGUUUUGAUGGCGACAACUUCCCAGAACAAAGUCCUCUUUCUAAAUGAGGUUUCCUGCUAGGAAAACUCCGCUGGACCCGUCGCCAACUUUGACGAACGUUCCUUUCAAAUUAAGUGAGCAAAUGGGUACUCGGGAUAGCGGAAGCCUAAGGAGUUGUCAGAUUGCCUCCAGACACAGCACCAGGACGCACAGUAACAGGAAUGUUUUUAAGGCCAUCUUGCCAAAAACCGGAUGAAGAGAGGUUCUUUCCCUGUGGCCCUGCGAGUUCGUGAACCGCCCCCCCCCCGCCCCCCCCAUGAAACCCACUACGUGUGUUCCCUCCUCAUCACAACAGGCAGCAAGAUACAAACAUCCCGGAGGAACCAUGGCUAUGGCAUUUUGCUGCUCAUUUCAUCAAGGGGUGGAGUCCCUGUCGCCGUCUCUCACGGCGUCCUUUGGACAAUAGGAUGUGACAGAGCGAUAAUGUGCAAGUUCCAUGGCCUUCGCCGCAAGAGGCGGGCCGGCUUUUGCCUCUCUCUUGGAAUGCUCCUGCCCCCACGUGAGGAAGUCCGGUCUUCCUUACUAAAUGAUGACAGGCCCCAGAGAGAGGUGGGCCCAGAUGACAGCCAGCGUGGGGGCGCUAGCCAUAUGAGUGAGGCCAUCUUCUAGCCUCCAGCUCCGGGCCAGCUGCCAAAUGGCUGCAGCCAGACGCGUGAGUCAAGACCAGAACUGCCCAGCUGAGCCCAGCCCCAGUGGACAGUGAUGACCAAAUAAGUGAUCCUUGUUCUAAGCCACUGAGUUUCGGGGUGAACUGUUACCUAGCAAUAGAGAGAAGCCACAUAGCUCUGCAGUGCAGACGGAGAAACGUGAAUCAGGAUCAGGAAUGUGAAGUAACUUGGCCAAGGGCUAUAGAGGCAGUAGGUGGGCGCAGUCCUGAUUUGACUUAGGUCUUUGGGAUAUCACAUUCUCCUUUGCUUGUCCGUGUCAAAACUAUUCCACCUAAGUGGAAAAAGUCCUGAAUUUCAGGAAAUGUGAAGGAGCAGCUUCUUAUAAGCAGAUGAUGGUAAAGAUUAGUUAAAACAUAAUUUUUUUUAGUAGUUUUCUGCUUCUAUUUGUUAGGAAGUGUUUUCCAAAAUGGCUUCAGAGAAUGUAUCGCCUCUCUUUUUAGGAGCAGGAUUCUUGAGCUUACAGGGUUCUUCAGCUAAUGUUCUGACCUGGGGCUUGGGUAGGCACAAUUCCUCUGAAAUACGGGUCUUUUCGUAGGGGCUUUCUAGUCCAAUGCACUUGAUGAAAAGGUUUACUAAAGGAUCAUCCGCUGUAGAACUUGGCUGUCUGAAGCUUGUGAAGUCUUACAAGUGAGGGCCCUUCUAAAGCGUGGGGCCACCAAAGAGGCGGCAGGACAUUUUUUCCAGACAGGACCAGAUAGUAUUUUGAGCUUUGCGACCCAUACGGCCUCGGUCAAAACUAAACUCAGUUCUGCCUUUGUAACUUGAAAUCAGCUGUAGGCAAUAUGUAAACAAGUGAGCGGAGCUGUGUUCCGGCAAAAUUUUAUUGACAAAAAUGGCAGGCCAGACUUUAUCCAUGGUUCAUAGUUGUUUCCACGACCCCUGAAUUAGAGGAAGACUGCCCGCCAAUUAGAGGAAGGCCGCCUAUAGCUGAGCUGCUGGCCCGGGUGUCUGCAGGGUUUGAGUGAUUGCAUAGCUUCCAGGUGGCUGUUACGUAGAGGGACUCAAGCUAGGAGUGCACAAGCCAACAGGGUCAGAGCAAGAGAUGCUUUUUAAGGAAUAGCCCCCUCAUCCCAGCAGACUCCCGAGGAAGCCCGGUGGCUGACAGCCAUCUGGCACGCGAAGUUCCUCAGUUGUGUCCUCGGGCAAAUUAUCUUUGAGGCUUAGCCUGCUUAUCUGUACAAUGGGGAGGGUAAUGAGGAACAGACUCUGCAAAAUGGGUGGGCUCUUAUGUCACAGUGGUGGUGUCAUGCUCACGGGGGGAGGGGUCAGGUUCUGUGCUCUCCUUACCCAGCGUGGAGAACAGCCGCAGAUCAUUGAUUAUUGCCCAUGAGCUUGGCGAGAGGCACGCUAAUUGCCCGACCAGACACUACGUCUCUGAAGUGUUGUUGGCUCCUGGUCUUGCUUGUUCGUCCCCUGGUCUGAGACUUGACCUCUCCAUCAUUGUUUUCACCUCACUGGUGACAGAGGUGGCAGGGCAGACGGGGGUUUGGUGCCUGGUGUUCCCAAGGGUUUAAGCUGCUGGUUGGCAGAGGUGGUUACCUUGGGCCCAGGUGCAUCAGAGGGUGUCUAUUUUUUUUUUUAACGUCAGCCUGAAUCAAUGAGAUCAAAUAAUACCUUCCCUUAAAUCGGUUUGCCCUUGUGUCCCUCCAGGGAUGCCCGUGAUACUGUUUGCUCCUUCCAGCUGCAGUUUUGUCUGGCUGGAAUUCUUCUGGGGGAUGGUAGAAUAAUAAGAAUAGCUUACUUACCAGUCUACAUCCACCAUGGUUAUUUUCACCGGUGUUCCAUUUCUAGCAUGCCGCCAUAUUCGAAUCAGAUGCUGCCGCUUUAAAGUGCGGGUUAUUUUAGGUUUUAGAAAAGUGUGCGUGAAACAGUCUGGUCUAGAUUUACAAGGGCAACGGAGAGCUUCCCAGGACACAGUGUAUUUCUUUUGGUCAUGUUCUGAGUUUUAAGGGCACUUUGCCAAUAGUUGGUCCAUGAUUCCACUUGUUGGGCAGCAGCUGAUUUGCUCUGAGAUUAAUCGAAAGAGCUUCCCGGUUUGUUUUUUCUUCUAUAAUUGUCCCUUGCCAGAUCUGAAGGGAAUCUUAGUGGCUACCUAGCCAUGCCCUGUAGUCCCUAUCCCUCCUCCUCUUCUAGACUGGAAAAAUCAAAGCAUUCCUCCUCAAGCGUUCUGUUGUUUGGUUUUCUGUUGAGCGUAGCAGACACACAGUAUUAUGUUAGUUUUAGGCGUACAACAUAGUGACUCGACAAGUUUAUACGUUAUGCUGUGUUCAAGCGUAGCUGCCCUCUGUCCUGAUAGAUGGCUAUUUGGAGGUCACUGAUUAUAUUCUUUGUGCUGUGCCUUUUAUUCCUGUGAUUUAUUCCGUAACUGGAAGCCUAUAGAAGUUUUCUCGAUGUUACAGAACUGAAUGGUCGUGUUCUCCCCAAAGCUGAUGGGUUGAAAUCCUAGCCCCCAGUGGGAUGGCCUUAGGUGGUGUUGGUAUGGUAGAGCCCUCAUGAAUGAGAUUAACGCCCUUGUGAAGAGAGACCAGAGAGCCUGCUUGCACACACUCUGCUCUCUGCCGUGUAAGGGCGUAACGAGAAGGCAGCUUUCUUCAUCACGGGGAGAGUAAAUGUACAGGGUAUUGGGGCCCCUGGGUGGCUCAGGAGGUUGAGUGUCUGACUCUUGAUUUUUGGCUCAGGUCACGAUCCCAAGGUCAUGGGACGGAGCCCCGCUCCACACCCGGCACAGAGCUUGCUUGAGAUUCUCUCUUCCUCCUGGGUGCAGGUAUCCUCAUGCCCUCUCUCAAAUAUUUAAAAAAAAAAAAAAAAAAAAGUACAGUGUAUUGAAGUAAAAGUCUCCAAAAUCUCAGCUGAGAUGUCCAAUGCUUGUAUUUCGGUUGGGUCAUCCUUCCCUGCAGGAGCAGAAUGACCCGAGGUCUCUCUUGCUGUAACCAAGGAGAGCCCUGCUAGGGGCCCCAGAGCCCUGCUGGCAUAUUUCUGGGCCCUCCACACCCAGUCUGUGCAGUUUCGGGGUGGCGGAGGUGGCUGGAUAUCUCACUGUACGUGUUCACGUCCACUUUUUCCGCCUCAGCCACGUUGGGAAUCACAGCCGCAACUAUUUCCAGUGCCUAGCCCAAAAUUGUCUUUAGCUGGAAGCCGAUAUCUUCCAUGCAUGGAAAUGUUUAUCAGGUGGGUGGCCCCCCUUGUAUUAGCGCUUUUAGGGAGCUGUGAGACGACGCCCUUCCGAUGUCGUUACUCUAAGCGGCUCUGUUCUUGUGGCUCUGCUGGUGAUGCCUUAGCAUCACCUUCAAACCUGUCUUUCCCACUGGGGCCAUUCCUGCUAGGAUUGCCUGCUGGACACAUCAACUGGGAGCUUUGGUUGACAUCUUGAAAACCAAGUUCCUCAUCUUCUCCCCCAACACGAGCUUGCCCUUCCCAGUUUUAAUUUCUUCCAGAGGCUCCGCCAUUUUCUCAAGGUAAAGUCUAAGCUUCAGAUCUGUGAUGCUGGCUUAUUUAUACUGCCGUGCUCCCCCUACCACCAUAGCCAGCCCAAGGUAGGUCUUGUUUCUUCCAGAAUAUUCUGUCCUCCUCCCUUCUGCCCUCUUCUCGUUACCACGUGCCUGAAGUACAACAGUGGUCCAUGGCUCCCCUUGGUCAACCUCCCCCGGCCUUUCCACCCAAAACAUCAGUGUGAUUUUCUCAUGUCCAGUUGAAAUCUGAACCUCUGUGUUGGCUUUCUAAAGUCCUGGAUGCUUCCAUCCUCCUGGUCUGGUAUGGAAAUAUGAUUGUUUCUGCUCAGGCCCGUUGCCAAAACAUUGCCGUUCUCUCUUGCUUCUGUCCUACCCUCAUGGGGAUCCUUCAUCUGAACUGCCCUCCAGUGUCCCCCACCCCCACCCAUUCACUUGAUGUUUCACUCCCUCAAGCCCUGCCUAAUUUUGCUGUUCUUUGCAAUCUCUUCUAGGUCUAUCAUCUCGUAUGAACCCCACUUUGCCUGGCCCUGUUCAUCAUGUCACAUGGAUGCGUGUUCUCUCCCUCGUUAGGCUGUAACCCAGUAGCUGUCAUGGCAACGCUGUUUCAUGUUGGUCUCUGCUUACGGAUAGUGAUGCUGUUGGCCGGGAAUGCUGUGGGGCGCCGACCUGGGCUGUACUGCUCGGGGGGAGCCUCCCAGACAUCUCCCCGCCCAGAGCCGACAUUGUGGCUGCACCGGCCCCUGUGGUUCUUGGGAUUUCAAGGCGUACCUUAGCAACAAUCAUCAGGGAACUUUGAAAAAACAAGGUUUAUUACAAAUCCUGGAGGGUACACAGCAUGCCCAGGGCCACACAGCAAGAGGGAAAGCACAGACCUGGCAUUCUGCCUUUGUUGGGGUCGAGGGUGGGGGCCUGGGGUUUCUAUGGGUUCACUCUUUAUUGGCGAAUGUAAAACAUCGUAACAGUGGGAAUUCAAGCCUGGGAAGGGAAGAGCGGGGUCGCUCCAGCGGUCAGUAAUCUAGGUCACCCAGGGUUUUCUAAAAGAAGGCCGUGGGUGGGGUGGCCUGGCUCUUUGUCUCGUUGUGCAGCUGGCAGCGUGUUCAUUUGAAAUGAAUUCCGCGGCAAAAACUUGAUGUCAGGCGCUACAUUACAAUAAAAAACCCUGGCGGUCGGGCACUUCGCCUGGGUGCCACAGCCUGAAACAAUAGCAAACUGCCCCCCACCCCCCCCGUGCUGAGCUGAGUAGCUGGUGCCCUACCUGCCGAGCUUGGCAGCCGUUUCCUCACGCAGAGGUUGCUGUCCAUUUCCCUCCUUCAAGAAUGCCAUUCCCAACUCCACCUUCAGAGCCAUUUUCUCUUUCAAGGAACCUUGAAAGUGGAUUAUGCUGAUCUUGGUUUCCAGACACAGAACCAUAGAUUUUCUGCUGGUCAGAGGUCCCCAGCUAGCCUCUUUCUGUCGCCUUUAAAGCUGAUACCCCAAGUCCCUUUUGUGCCUUGGGCUUAGAGUGUACCCUUGACAAAGGGGUCUCUCCCCCCCCACCCCACCCCACCCAGGAUCGGAGAGUGUGAGGGAUACUUGAAUAGUCCCGUGUGCUCAGGCUAGAAAUGAAUGCUGAAUUGAGGUAAUAAAUAGAAGCGUCCUGUCCUUCCCGGGGCCGGACGAUGAAGAGCCCAAGGAGUGAUGUGUGGGAGAAGGGCAGCGAAGAGAGCAGCGCCCUCAGUUGGCCCCCACACUUGUGUCUGACUCUUCCUUGUGAUUCUCCGAGCUCUAUGCAGAGAGUGGCUAGCCGCCCCUUAGGAUGCUUCACGAACCUGAAAGGUUUCUUGGAGACGAACAUGAACUGAUGAAUAAGUUGUUCCCUCUGGGCAGGAAGAGCUGAUCGAAGAAUCUUGGCCAUUCCUUACCUUUACCAAAUGUUCCCAAGGAAAGCCCCAUAGAAGGACAUAUUGUGUGUGUCCCCAUCUAGGGAUUUAACGUCCACGUGUGGACCAUCUCCCCUUGCUUGUGGCUUGCUCUGUCUCUCCUGUGGACCUAGCCGACCUUUUAGACCUAAAUAUUUACCAGAGAGAGGUUGGUAGGAGGACAGGGCUACACAUGAAGGAGAAGAAUGUAGGUUUAUGAUCAGGAAAUGCCUCCGAGUAUCAGAGGAAUAAGUCUCCUGAGGGAGUGCUCUCUCAGGAGGCGAAGGAAGGGAGAGGUGUCCCCUUGGCUUUAGUUCUCCAGAAAUGAACUUGUUGACUGAAGUGGGAGACUAGUGAGGAUGGUCUGUUUCCAUCCCAGCGGGAUUCUUUGUCGGAAACCACACUGGCUGUCCUUAACUAGGUGGCUGGGUUUUCAGGGUGUCCUUGAACACAGAUUGGGCUUCCCCAGGUUUCUUCCGUGAGGCAUCCUGCCUCCCAUUCUCCUCGGGGAAUUGAAAGAAAUGAGAGAGUUGCAUAGGCAGAUGGUCAAAAUUUGUACAGAGCCCCCAGCGUUAACAUUUCAGUGCCAGAAUUUUAAAAGAGCAUGAAAUGAUUCCGGUGGCCAAGUUUUAGGAAUCAAAGCUACCCAGUUUCCUGCAGGUAUAGAAACCAUGGUCUCAGCAAGGGCUGUGAUGUCUUAUCGUGGAUGGAAAUGCCUGAGAUUUCUAUCUGCUGUUCUCGUCAGGUAUUUUAGAGGUCACGAGUAAUUAGUCAUCACCAGCCCUUUUGAUUCUGUCAUGAAAACGCCUCGCUCCCCCGCCUCCCUUCCCCGCCUCCCUUCUACCCACAAUUUGAGUGAUCUCACGUCAAACUCCACAGAACUCUCACCUGCGAAUGUAUAAUAUUUUAUUAACAGUUCUGCCUACCUUCUUGCCCUUAAUCCAUUUUUACUUCCAGAAUAAUCUCCAUAAACCGGAUCUCAUUAGGCUACUCCCAAUUUAAGUCCCGCUCUAACUUGGCGUUGGAUGUUACCCUUGACCUGGCCCGCAAUGACCUUUCCAAGGUUCAAGGUAAACAGCUUGCUAUAGCGCACACCCCUCCACUGGGGGGCCAUGUGCUGGCAAUUCCCUCUGCCUGAUGACUCACAUAUGUAUCCCCUUCACAUCCAAAUUCCAUCCGUCCUGGAGACUCAGCCCGCAUGGCACUACCUCCGCAGACCUGGAUCUUUCUCCUCUUCCCCACUCUUCAUCCCAGUUUGUCCUUUGACCACCCACACUUCCAACCUUGAGUUAUGAUCUUUUGUCAUUGCAUCGUAGCCCAUCUGCGUUGUAAACACGCUGUGGCCAUAGACCGUGCUUUCAGGCUCUGAAUCUAGCUACCCCAGAGCAUCGUCCCCAAAUGAGCAUCCUAUUAAUAAUUGUUGCUACGGUAGGUCAGUUAAUGAGCUUAGGUUGUGUCUUAUUCAAUAAAAGUUGUCUUAAACGUGCAUUAAAGACCUUUUAUGCCACUUAUAGAUGCUCUUAUGUCUAGAACUGUCCACAAGCUAAUGAUUGCUGUAAGCCAGAAAGUAUAAGCGCAAGAGUUCAAAAUAACUUAGAGUGACACAACAUGUUUCCCCCUCAGUGAGUGUAAAGUAAACCCUAUCAAGACAUUUUCCUUCUUGGAAGAAGAGGGAAGGAGGAAGCUCUACAGAGUAGACAAAAUGAGAUUACUAUAGAAAACUCAAAGUUCUGUCAGUUUAGAUAUUAAAUUGCCUUAAAAUUUCUGUAGACAACGUCUGGAAGAUUAACAGAUUUGACUGCAUGACCUUUACCGUACAGAAGAUUAGCACAUUUGAUAUGCUGACUGGGAGGAAUACUUACAGGCUGUAUAAUGGGACAAAGGAUUAAUACUCCCCAAAUAGAACGUGUUUCUAUAAAUCAGUAUAAAAAUGGAUGAAGGAUUGUGUUUGCUAUCUAUUGCUAGUGAACGAACUACCCAAAAUGCGCUGGGUUGAGUGAGCACUGACUCCGUGUACCUCAUGGCUUUGCAGUCUGGGGCUGGCUCCGCCGGGUGGUUCUUCUCCAUAGGGUCUCCCAUCCAAGUACUAACCAGGCCCGACCCUGCUUAGCUUCCGAGAUCAGACGAGAUCGGGCGUGUUCAGGGUGGUAUGGCCAUAGACGGUUCUUCUCCAUAGGGUGUGCACCGGGGCUGGCGUGUCCGAGGUGGCUCCUUCAGUGGCCUGUCUGGGGCCUCAGCUGGAGUGAGGAGAACAGCCAGGCAUCUCAUCCUCCGUGAGGUCCUGCUUGCAAAGAAGCUGGACCUUUAUGUGGUGACUUAGGGUUCUAAGAGUGAGCUGUCCGAGGGAACAGCCCCACCGUGUAAGCACUUACCAGCAAGCCUCUGCUUGCUAAUAACUUUUUUGGUCGAGCAAGUGACUUGGCCAAGUCCAUUGCCAAUGGUGGAGGUGUUAACCCAAGACCGUGAACACGAGGUGUGAUUUACUGUGGAACAUCGGUGUAAUAGCCUGCUACCCAUAUGAGAGGCAGUUCACUAAAGAAAUAGGAAUGAGUCAUAAACAAGAAAAAUGCACAGUUUUGUUAGCAGUCAAAGUAAUGCAAGUGAAAAUGGUGACAGGCUGUUUUCAUUAGGAAAUUGACAGUACGCAGUAUCUAGUUAAUGUCUAGUGUUUGGGGUGCCUGGUGGCUCAGUUGGUAAAGCGUCCGACUUCGGCUCAGGUCAUGAUCUCGUGGUUUGUGGGUUCGAGCCCCGCCUCGGGCUCUGUGCUGACAGCUCAGAGCUGGAGGCUGUUUCGGAUUCUGUGUCUCCCUCUCUCUUUCUCUCUGUCUCUCUGCCCCUUCCCCACUGACACUUUGUCUCUCCCAAAAAUAAACAUUAAAAAAUAUUUUUUUAAAUCAUUAAACAAAAACAUGUAGUGUUAACAAGCUUUACAAGAGAAUCUUCUACACUUUGGUGGGAGUGUCAAUUAGGGUGACCUUUUUAAAAAAGUGAUUUGGCAGCGGGUAUCAAAGUAUAAAAUGUGGGGGCGCCUGGGUGGCGCAGUUGGUUGAGCGUCCGACUUCAGCCAGGUCACGAUCUCGCGGUCCGUGAGUUCGAGCCCCGCGUCGGGCUCUGGGCUGAUGGCUCAGAGCCUGGAGCCUGUUUCUGAUUCUGUGUCUCCCUCUCUCUCUGCCGCUCCCCCAUUCAUGCUCUGUCUCUCUCUGUCCCAAAAAUAAAUAAACAUUGAAAAAAAAAAAAAAAGUAUAAAAUGUGUAAAUUGGCACCUUCCGCUUCUGCAGGUGAACAUACUUCUAUGUGUAAAAAAUAUUUCUGUAAGUUCCCCGGAAUGUUACAGAGGGAUGUUUAUAUAUCACCACUUGUAAUGGUAAUGAAGUAGAACAUGAAAGCCUAUUAGAGAACGUGUGAAUUAUCAUAAAGCUAUACUAUGGAAUAUCGAGCAGCCACAUUAAGGUUGGGUAAGAGUCUGCUGGUGUGGAAUGAUCCCCGGAGAGGUUGUUGAGUGGGAAAACAGGCCCUCUGGGUAUUCUGUGUCAGCACUUUCAUGGGAACAAAAUUUGGGGUAAAUACACACCAGAGGGAGAAAGGGGUCUAGAAUAAAGUGUAGAAACGGGCUGGGAGUUUAUUUUGGCUUUUUAGUUUUGUACGAAGGUCUGCUUACUUGGAAUCUUUUCUGAUGAGGACGCAUGGCUCUCAUGACGGGGAAAAGUGGAGGCUCCCUUAAAAUUUGCACGUCUACGUGUAUACCCAUACACGCAUGUGCAAGUGUCCGUAGAAGCGCAGCGUAAGAGAUCUCAGGGGAAGGUUCGUUGGAUACCCGAAGCUCUGCCAGUGAGCCUCUCUCGUCCUCUUCAGUGCCCUCAAGCUCAUUCUCUCUCCUGGAAAAAUAGAGGUCUGUGAGUCACUUGUAAUUCCUGAUAGGAGGCACAUUUUUGUAUGAUUUGCUUCUGAGCUUUUUAAAUUGCACGUUGAUCGCAUUAACCGAAAAAAUACACUAUUUUGUUUUUUCCGCAUCUAGAACCAAGCUACACGUUAGGAACGAGGGAUCGUUAGAAAAGGUGACUCAGUGUACCCGUUCAGUGAGAUGUCCAACUUCCGCAUAAGCUCCUGGCGUCUUCUGACGCCCACGCGGAAUGGGUACGGUUCUAAUCGGGCUUCUCCGCGGAAGGCGUAACGGGGAAAUGUCCAGACUCACUUCUGCGGUGGUCAGAGCUGGCAUUUCCCUCCUGUUUCCUCCUGCUGAUACCUGAACAAAUUCUCGCUUUCCUCCCUCUUCUCGCCUCGUGUCCUUCGCAAGAAAAAGAACACACGCCGUUAGCUCCUGUGCAGUGAAGCUCUUUAAGCCGCUCGCGUGGAAGAGAGCUGGGCCCAGGAGGAAGCCUUGUUCUCUUCCAGGUCAGAGCUGCCGCAAGGUCAGGCGUGCGUGAGACCCGAGACGAAGUCUUGUUUAGUUCGAAAAGAUCAUUUAUCGGAUGGUACCAAAUCUGACAGUUUCUGCAAGGAUAAAGCAGUGGUGUAGAAACAUACGAGAGCUUUUAUUUCAUAACGGGUUCAUUUCCUUUUAUCGAUAAAAACCAUCUUAAGGCAACACAGGGGUUUUUUUUAUGUUUAUUUUCUUAUUUUUUUUUAAUUUUUUUUUUUUAUUGAGAGAGUGUAUGUGUGUGAGCACAAGCAGGGCAGAAAGGGAGAACGAUCCCAAGCAGGCUCCGUACUGGCAGCCCAGAGCCCAACUCGGCGUUCGAUCUCGCAAACUGCAAGACCCUGACCUGAGCUGAAAUCAGGAACCAGAUGCUUAACCAACUGAGCCGCCCAGGCGCCCAAGGCAACAUGGUUGCUGACAAAUCUGUUUCGAACUCUUACAUCUUGGUUUCUAGUUACAUGGAGGGGGACCCAUGAAAUUUCAAGAAGGAUCAAACGUCACACCAGGUAAUCGUUGACACUUCUUCCUGGCAGUUAGGAAAAGCGCUCAAUAUGUCAGCGUGACAGUUUCUUAAAGCAACUGUUUCUUUUAUGCCUCGAUCAGCUGCUUAUAUGUUAUCUCUAUCGUGCUAGAUAUUUUAGACAUUGUUUUAAUUUUUUGGAAGUUACGCAAAGGAAGGAAUCCUCAAAUAGAGCACGCGAUGCGUUACUUUCUAAGAGUAUUUUUAUACACAGGAAAAAAAAAAAAAAAAUGUGCUGCUUCCAGAAUACCUGUGUUGCAUCUUCAACGUUUGGCAGGGAAGGUGAUGCUCACAGAAACACAAACUGAGGGGGCGGCCGGCUGGCUUAGUUGGUCGAGCACGUGACUCGAGCUCAGGGUCGUGAGUUCAAACCCCACGUUGGGCAUGGAGCCUAUUGAAAAAAGACUUUAAAAAAUAGGGGCGCCUGGGUGGCGCAGUCGGUUAAGCGUCCGACUUCAGCCAGGUCACGAUCUCGCGGUCCGUGAGUUCGAGCCCCGCGUCGGGCUCUGGGCUGAUGGCUCAGAGCCUGGAGCCUGUUUCCGAUUCUGUGUCUCCCUCUCUCUCUGCCCCUCCCCCGUUCAUGCUCUGUCUCUCUCUGUCCCAAAAAUAAAUAAACGUUGAAAAAAAAAAUUAAAAAAUAAAAUGAAAUAAAAUAAACGAGUAAACAAAAAAGAAACACAAACUGAGAAUCCCAGAACUAUGAGAAAUCUGAACUUGCUUUCAGAUUCCCACAUGUUGGUUUCGUAGAAGCCUUGUAAUAGUCUGAGGUAAACAUGAUGGCUAAGGUUUUUUUUUUAACGUGUGUUUUCUAACUUAUCUGAAAAUCAUAUAUGCAUAAUGAAACUGUUUUCUUUUUACAACCUAAACUAUUUGCCAGAGGAAAAAUGAAGUCUUUCUCUGGGUGAGGGGAAAAAAGGAAAAAGAAAAAAAUGACCACAUCUCUCUUGUGAACCUUAUUCCCUAAAUAGUGUUGAAUGAAUGUUGGCACAGAGUUCUAGAUUCUGUAGCCGGGUUUCUCCAGGUGUGCUCCCCAGGCUCUGGGGGAGAGAGGAGGACUUGUACAGGAUCCUAGCACCUCCCCCCCACCGCAUCCCAUCAAGUCAAAGACAAGGUCCUGGAGUCUGUAUGUUAAACUACUCCCCAGGCAGUGUUUAAUAUAUAGUGAAGUAUGAAACAUUUAAAAAUGAACUAGAAAAGUCUAGGACUUCCUGAGAAGGAAGCCAAAAUUCUGAGGAGGAUUCUAGUUAGGCUUGUUGGUUUGUUCCGUAAAAAAUUUAGAAGGACUUUUCAAAAAGAGGGAGGGAGGUCACUUCUGGGUGGCCUGGGUUUGGCUGGAUCUUGGAGGAAUCAGGCUUCCUCCCUGGUGGGGUUCAAGAGGUUAGGAGGGAUGGGGAAACCAACUGUGGCCAAGAGAAGAGAGACGUUGGCAGGUCAGAGCUUCGGAGGAGGUUCAGUUACGUGAGGCACUUCCCCAGUGGCCCUUGGGGGCACCAGGAGAGGAAGUGCUGUGGGGUCGGUGACACUUCACCGCUCCCAGGCACUCUUCAGGUCUGCCUUUCUUGGACUAUCUUGGCCAGCGCUACCAUCCCAGCAACGUUACAUAGAUUUUUCAAAAGUGCUUGCCUCUUUUAGCAUAUUUCACUUCUGAGGCGAGCACAGAGCUCCAGGACAUUAGGAAUGAUUUAUCAGUCCUAUUAAAGUGAGAGUAUCAUCUCUUCUCCUUGAUGGUGUUCUUUCUAAAUAUCUAGAUGUAUGAAUUUUUAAAAAUCUCUCGCUUUCGGUUUAUGUAACUCCUCCGUAGUGCUUUGGAAGUUUGCACUAAGCAUCCUGCAUUUGUACGAGAACUAAUCAUUUCUCGUGUUAUGCGAACAGCUCGUUCAUAGACCUUCUAGAACCUCCUGCCUGGAGGGGUUGUCAGACUUCAUACUGUACAAAAUAUACCCCCUACUUUCAGUAGGAGCACACACAAGGCACUAUUCAGCAGCAGGGGGACCCAGAUGCACCAAGGCAGUACGAUUCUUUUAGGGACAACUCUCCUCAUAAGAAAGAUUUAUUUUUUUAAUUAAGCAGAUAUCUGUCUCCUGGCAUCUUGACUCUUUCAUUGUGACCGUACUUGGUGAGAAGACCUGGAAGAAGUCCAAUGUCUUCUCCAUCACAUCCCUUCACCUGUUUGAAUACAGUGAGUGUAUCAUCCUGUGUCUUCCCUCUCAGACCACGUACCCUUGAACACUUCCUCCCAUGGCCCAGUAUCCUGGCCCUCCCUCCACCUGCUGAUCCCUGCUGGUGGCUCCAGUUACCAGGGACCCUUAAAUCUGGACGCCUGGGACUGAACUCAGGGUCUGGGAAGUCUGAACAACAGCAUUCAGCAGGACUGUUAGCCCUUUCCAGAUACCACAUGUCCAGAAGCCUUACCCUUUCCCCUGGUUUUAUGGAGGUACAAUUGAGGGAAAGCAUUAUACAAGUUCAAGACAUAGAGUAUCAUGAUUUGGUCUCUGCCGAUAUUGAGAAAUGAUUAGCACAGCGAGUUAACAUCCCUCACCUCACCUAGUUAUAAAUUUUAUCUUGUGAUGAGAUCUUUUAAGAUCUAGUUUCUUCACUUGCAAAUACACAAUACAGUAUCGUUAACCCUAUUCACCAUGCUGUAUGUUACAUCCCUAGAAUUUAUUCAUCUUAUAACUGGGAUUUUGUACUUACCAUCUUCUUCACCCCACCCUCUGCCUCUGGCAACCACCAAUCUGAUCCGUUGCUAUGAGUUUGUCUUUGUUUUUGUUUUAGUUUCCACAUAUAAGUCUUUGCCUUUCUAGGUCUGACUGAUUCCACUUAGCAUAAUGCCCUCAAGGUCCAUCAUGUUGUUGCAAAUGAUGGGAUUUCCUCCUUUUUUUAUGGCUGAAGAGUAUUUUAAGUAGCCUUAUCUUGACUCCUUUCUUACAGCAGCUGUACCAUAAGAGCACCGCACAUUGAACUUCUGGUUGACUAAGAAAUUAGACCUUUUUACAGGCUGACUGCUCUCGAGCCUCCUUCCCAUUCUAACCUUCUGAAGUUGGUGUUUAGAAUUCAUUAUACGUACUACCUUAGCGCAGACCUAAUUCUGGCUUAUUCUUUACAAGCCUGUUGAUACUUUGGGGUCCUGACUCCUCCCUUACAUACAUGGUGGAGAGAAUGUGGACUUACCACUAGAACACAGAUUAAGUCCCAAUGCUGUCACCCAUCAGCCGAACUUCGUUUCCUCCCUUGUAAAAUGAAGGGGGUAAUGAUACCCAAUUAACCAAGCCCAGAUUAUUUAACAGGUGGUUUACUGAGAUGCAGAGCAUACAAAACGGACAUGAAAAUCUAUUUAGACCGUGAACUACUAUAGAGAAUUUUACGUUUGCCACCCAUCCCGUUUUCGGGUCACCUGCACACAUAGGCAAGUUUUUGUCAAAAAUCUUAUCCAAGUCAUUAAUUAGGAUGUAGAACAAUUCCAGGCCAAGAAUAGAUACCAAUCCAUUCGUAUCUUGAUUUGAUAGUACUCUCCAUUUUCAAUACAUUUCUUCAGCUCGGCCUCGAUGAGAUUAUAAGACCUUGUUAAAUACCUUGUUGAAAUCCAGAUAUGCCCACAACAUUUUGCAUGUACUUACACUUGCCCUUGUCCAAGAAAGUAAUGAGAAUAUUUGGAAGUGCAUGUUCUUAGGAAAUCCAUCUUGAUUUCAAAGGAUCCCUACACCCCCUCUUAUUAUUGCAAAGCUCCCCUUACAGUAAUCUGGAUGUUUGCCUGUGAUUCGUCAUAAAGCUCCCUGAUGUAUGGUUAUAGACAUCAUCUUCUGUCUAUGUUUUUGGUUUCUAGUCAUCACAUUUUUCAUUCUUUUUCUUUUCUAACUUUCAAAGAAUACAGAACGGAAUUUAAGCAAAUAAAUUCUCAAGGCUACUUAAUUCCUUAAAUUGAAUAGCAAACCUCAUACUACACUGAAAAAAGACAAGUGCAAAGUUACCCCAUAUAAAUUAUACCACGUCCUUAAGCAACCGUGAGAGAUAGCUCAGAUAUUAAUGUCACGCGUAGCGAGGAACGGUCUUAACUUAGCGUUGUCCAAGAUUGCCAUGUCUGAAGACGAUAUGUACAGACUCAAGUGUGAUUCCUUAGAUUCCAAAUUCAGCACUGCCUCUAAGGGAAGAAGUAACCAGCCCGUCGUUGGUUUAUUUUUCUAACAGUUCUACCUAAUUUACUAUAAAGCACUGGCUGGACAAACACUAUUCCUUUAUUUCUAUCAUUUUUUAGAAUGGGAGUCUGCAAACCUUUUCUGCAAAGAACCAGAUAUUAAGACUUCAGGCUUUGCGGACCUUAUGAUCUGUUGCAACUACUUAAUCCUGCUUUCAUAGCACGAAAGUAGCCCAUAGACAACAUGUACAUGAAGGGUUUGGCUGUGUCCCAGUAAAACUUUAUUUACAGAAACAGAGGGCCAUUGUUUGAUGCUGUGACACCUCUUUUAGAACUUGAAUUCAUUUAGAAAUAAAACUUUGCAACAUAGAUUGGGCUUCUUUGUGAAAGUGGUUAUGUUAAGAAAAUCCAUUGGGGGGGGGUGGGUUUGGGUGGCUCAUUUGGUUGAGCACCCGAUUCUUGAUUUUGGCUCAGGUCAUGAUCUCAUGGUUGGUGAGAUUGAGGAUUCCCUCUCCCCUUCUCUGGCUCUCCCCCACUUGUGUUCUCUUGAUGUGCCCCGAUUCGAGAGACCCCCCGAAAACAAACCACCAGAGUCCAGAGUCAAAGCCAAGCGGCAAGGGUCGUUUAUUGCAGGUUCGAACCCGGUCCUCCGCGCACUCGUCACCGGUGACACAAGAGGCCCCGAGCAAGGAUCUUACAGCUUCUUUUAUAGACAGGCACAAACAAGUUAGGGAUUUUUUUUGAGGUUACAGAGUUGUUAUAGGCUGACAUUUAAAUUUGAACGCUCAGCAGAACUUGUUUGGUUCCCGCCUUUAUUUCAAACCACUCAGCAGAACUUGAUUGGUUCCCGCCUUUAGGUCAGACUACAACCGGGCACACCCUGGCUGGUUUCUUCCGGAAUGGCGGGGGGAGGGGAAAGAUCUUUUCUUUGCAGUUGUGAGUACACCUGGUAAUUUUUCUCUUAGCCUCUCACUCUCUCAAAAUAUUAAACAUUUCUUAAAAAUUGAUGAGGGAAAAGGGUUAUAUUGGUCCUUUAACCUAAACCAUUACAGUUUGAAACUAGAAGAAGUCAAAAAGGAACCUCCCCAACCUGCCUCCCCUCCCCCC